CCCAAACAACGUAUCGAGUUGAUCUACAAACGGCUCUCUCCAUCUCUCAAACGCUCUCUCAACCGCUUCAAUGGUUGUCCCCUCCCUCUUCCUCUGACUCUCACUCCAUAUUCUUCUACGACCUUUAAUGCGUUUUUGGACUGCUGUCGACAUUCAUCUCAGACGAACCUGGUAUCCGUAUUGAGCCCUUCAUCCAGUUCUCAUGGAUACAAGAAUCCCACUUGACUGCCAAAGUUACUCAUGCCAACAAUAUUUGCAUAUAAAGGUCAUGGUUGGCACAGACAUCAUUUCCGAUGACGACAGUGAAUUCUUGAGGUUACCCAAGCUAGAAGUAUCAAUUUGACAUGAAGGGCCGGAUAUUUGGAGCGUCUUGGGUGCAGAGAAGACCAAUCUUCAAGAAUCUGCAAGCUACUUCAGCGUCGAAUUCCCCAUUCAAUGACGUAUCUACCAAUCCCACAAGCUCACUUCUCUCGUAAAGUUCCCAUGUCUGUUACAAUAAAAUUUACAUAUUACAUUCUGCAUAAUUUUACAGCACUAAUCAAGUAGAACCUGCAUUUCUAGGAAUGCAGAAAUUACAACCUUCCACUACCAUAGGCAGUGUAGACUCCUACAUCUCAUGGUAUCUCUAUUCAGUUUGUCAUACUUAAUUCUAAAGCAUCAUGCUGAAAAAGAACAGUGAUUUUGUUCCAAGGAUGUGCAAAGAAACAAUGAUGACAAAUGACAAUGCUGAAUAUAUACACGGGAAUAUGUAUUUGUUUCUCCAAGUUUGACAACUAUUAUACAGUAGCUCCAAGCCAUACAUAGGUUAUACCACCAUAAGUUCCUUUCAUGAGAUGAUUGUCAGCACUGGAUGUACAAUUUACAGCAGAACAUAAAAAUGUGAAAAGAACAAAAUUUUCCAUUUGUUGAUGUUUUUUCAAUUUUGUUAAAGGGAAGAAAACAGGGUUAAAAACAUGAUAAAGUGAGGAAAGUUAGCCACAGCUUACUUUUCCUACACAGUUCAAUUUUUCAUCACUGUUACACCAAGUUUUUCCCUAUUACUUUUUGUCAUCACGGAAUUAGGUGAUUCAUUAGAUUAACUGACACACCUAAUCACCACUUCGUAUGAAAAUAUUGAUAAGUUUGUGGAAAAACUUCAUACCCUUCCAAGAAGAUAUUGCUCUGCGAUAGGUAAUCGACUAUUCAUGUUGCGUCUUCCAGUAACUAUUUCCACAAGGAGAACGCCAAAGCUGUAUACGUCUGCUUUACGUGUCAACUGCCCUCUUAUUGCAUACUCUGGUGCCAGGAGGAUAAUGGAAUUCCAAUGAUCCCCCAUACGUUCAGUUCAACAAAAGAUGUGGUCUCAGUUCACAUCAACUAUGACCUCUCAAAAAGACCAAAUGGUUUGAAUUUGUUGGCAAUGGGCUAGUGCCAAAUUAAAUAGAACGUAUACUUGUAAUUUGCAAAGUUCCUUCUGCAGGCAUACCAUUUGGCGUCAUAAGCCAAAUUAAACAAGAUUAAUUCUUCCUUUCAGUUGUAGGUUUUCGGGGACUGAGGAUGUUAAAGACACAAGACGUGUUAGUCUUGGUCUGUCGUAGGUGGGUUUACUCAUGUCUAUUGAUUUUUUUUAUAUGAAUGGUUAGUUUUAUCAUGUAAGGGCGGUUGUGGACAUUGUAUCUAAAGUCGUAAGCUCCUGGCAGCAUUUAUUUGUU